UCUCAGUUCGGAUUGGGCUCUGCAACCCGAGCCCAUGAAGUUGGAAUCGCCAGUAAUCGUGGAUCAGCAUGCCACGGGGAAUACGUUCCCGGGCCUUGUACACACCGCCCGUCACACCAUGGGAGUUGGUUUUACCUGAAGGUAGUGCGCUAACCGCAAGGGGGCAGCUAACCACGGUAGGGUCAGCGACUGGGGUGAAGUCGUAACAAGGUAGCCGUAGGGGAACCUGCGGCUGGAUCACCUCCUUUCUAAGG
rnacentral:rRNA from 1 species